AUUGAACGCUGGCGGCAGGCCUAACACAUGCAAGUCGAGCGAGCGGCGGACGGGAGAGUAAUGCCUGGGAAUUGCCCAGUCGAGGGGGAUAACAGUUGGAAACGACUGCUAAUACCGCAUACGAUUGGAUUGCCCAGGUGGGAUGAGCUAGUUGGUGAGGUAAUGGCUCACCAAGGCGACGAUCCCUAGCUGGUGUGCGAGGAGGAUCAGCCACACGGGAACUGAGACACGGUCCAGAGGCCUACGGGAGGCAGCAGUGGGGAAUAUUGCACAGUGGGGGAAACCCUGAUGCAGCGAUGCCGCGUGUGGGAAGAAGGCCUUCGGGUUGUAAAGCACGUUCAGCGAGGAGGCGUUACUCGCAGAAGAAGCACCGGCUAACUCCGUGCCAGCCGCCGCGGUAAUUC
rnacentral:rRNA from 1 species